GUCCAUCCACUCCGGCAGUACAUAUACUAAAAUUGGAGCAAUAUGGAGAUUAGCAUGGCUCCUGCUUGAGAAUGACAAGAAAAGUCAUAAAGUUUUCUGUUUUCAA
rfam:Mesocricetus auratus contig124204, whole genome shotgun sequence.